rnacentral:rRNA from 1 species
CCUACGGGUGGCUGCAGUGAGGAAUAUUGGUCAAUGGACGCAAGUCUGAACCAGCCAUGCCGCGUGCAGGAUGACGGCUCUAUGAGUUGUAAACUGCUUUUGUACGAGGGUAAACGCAGAUACGUGUAUCUGUCUGAGAGUAUCGUACGAAUAAGGAUAGGCUAACUCCGUGCCAGCAGCCGCGGUAAUACGGAGGAUUCAAGCGUUAUCCGGAGUUAUUGGGUUUAAAGGGUGCGUAGGCGGUCGGAUAAGUUAGAGGUAAAAUCCCUAGGCUCAACUUCGGAAUUGCCUCUCACACUGUUCGUCUAGAGAGUAGUUGCGGUAGACGGAAUGUAUAGUGUAGCGGUGAAAUGCUUAGAGAUCAGACAGAACACCAAUUGCGAAGGCAGCUUACCGAGCUACUUCUGACGUUGAGGCACGAAAGCGUGGGGAGCAAACAGGAUUAGAUACCCGUGUAGUC